AUCAACCUUUGGCCGUUAUUGCAGUUAUCAGCUUUGCCAGAGAUGAAGUAGAAGGGCCCUGAACGAUCAAAUUUGAAGAUGGAGUCACCAUCUGUUAAGGACUGUAUAGGUUUCUUGAUGUUGCAUGAGUAGUAAUCGUCCUUGAUCACCACCAAGACUGAGUUGGAUCCUUUCUUGUACUUGAAAAAAAGAGUAUCAUUGACUUGAAACCUGUUUCUAGGA
rnacentral:misc_RNA from 1 species